rnacentral:tRNA from 1 species
GUUAAUGUAGCUUAACGACAAAGCAAAGCACUGAAAAUGCUUAGAUGGAUUUUCUAAGAUCCCAUAAACA